rnacentral:misc_RNA from 1 species
CCGAGUUAUCAACUCCCAAACCCCUGUGAACAUACCACUUUGUUGCCUCGGCGGGAUCAGCCCGGCGCCCGGGCACGGGAACAGGGCCCGCCAGAGGACCCCUAAACUCUGUUUCUAUAUGUAAUCUUCUGAGUGACAAAGCCAUAAUAAAUA